AUACUUCAUUAGUGUUACAUUGGCUCAACAUUGUUCAAUAUUCGCCAAUGUUGAGCCAAUGUGACGCCAAUGAAGUGU
rnacentral:pre_miRNA from 1 species